UAUGGGGGGGUUUGGGGGUUUUAUGGAGGCCGCGAAUUCGCCCUUACCCGCUGAGCUUAAGUAUAUCGAUAGGCGGAGGAAAAGAAACUAACAUGGAUUCCCCUAGUCGCUGCGAGGGAAAGCGGGAAAAGCUCAAGUUUAAAGAUCUGGCGCGUCCCUGUGGCCCUCCCAGUGGUAAUCUAGACAACUAGCUAUCCGCGCUGGACCGCGUCCGUGUCUCCUGGUACCGGAGAGUCAUAGAGGGAGAGAAUGCCGACCUUGACACUGACUACCAGGUCUUAUGUGAUGUGCUCUCAAAGAGUCGAGGUGUUUGUGAAUUCAGCUCUAAAUGGGUGGUAAAUUCCAUCUAAAGCUAAAUAUUGGCGAGAGACCGAUAGCGAACAAGUACCGUGAGGGAAAGAUGAAAAGAACUUUGGAAAGAGAGUUAAACAGUACGUGAAAUUGUUGAAAGGGAAACGCUUGAAGUCAGUCGCGUUGCCAGAACUCAACCACGCUUUAGAUUGGUGUACUUUCGGGUUAUCGGGUCAGCAUCAAUUUUAGCCGGCGGAUAAAGGUCAGGGCGAGAUGUGGCAUCUUCGGAUGUGCUAAUAGCCAUGGGCGGCAUACAUCGAAUUGUGAAAGAGGAACUCAUCCUGCCGCACGGCGCGGAUACUAGCCGACAGUACAUUGUCUUAGGAUGCUGCGCAUAAUGGCUUUAUAUCGUCCAGUCCUGAAGGACGG
rnacentral:rRNA from 1 species